GGGUUGUGAGGUUAAGCGACUAAGCGUACACGGUGGAUGCCCUGGCAGUCAGAGGCGAUGAAGGACGUGCUAAUCUGCGAAAAGCGUCGGUAAGGUGAUAUGAACCGUUAUAACCGGCGAUGUCCGAAUGGGGAAACCCAGUGCAAUUCGUUGCACUAUCGUUAACUGAAUACAUAGGUUAACGAGGCGAACCGGGGGAACUGAAACAUCUAAGUACCCCGAGGAAAAGAAAUCAACCGAGAUUCCCCCAGUAGCGGCGAGCGAACGGGGAGCAGCCCAGAGUCUGAAUCAGCUUGUGUGUUAGUGGAACGGUCUGGAAAGUCCGACGGUACAGGGUGAUAGUCCCGUACACCAAAAUGCACAGGUUGUGAACUCGAAGAGUAGGGCGGGACACGUGGUAUCCUGUCUGAAUAUGGGGGGACCAUCCUCCAAGGCUAAAUACUCCUGACUGACCGAUAGUGAACCAGUACCGUGAGGGAAAGGCGAAAAGAACCCCGGCGAGGGGAGUGAAAAAGAACCUGAAACCGUGUACGUACAAGCAGUGGGAGCACCUUAUGGUGUGACUGCGUACCUUUUGUAUAAUGGGUCAGCGACUUAUAUUCUGUAGCAAGGUUAACCGUAUAGGGGAGCCGCAGGGAAACCGAGUCUUAACUGGGCGUUAAGUUGCAGGGUAUAGACCCGAAACCCGGUGAUCUAGCCAUGGGCAGGUUGAAGGUUGGGUAACACUAACUGGAGGACCGAACCGACUAAUGUUGAAAAAUUAGCGGAUGACUUGUGGCUGGGGGUGAAAGGCCAAUCAAACCGGGAGAUAGCUGGUUCUCCCCGAAAGCUAUUUAGGUAGCGCCUCGUGAACUCAUCUUCGGGGGUAGAGCACUGUUUCGGCUAGGGGGUCAUCCCGACUUACCAACCCGAUGCAAACUACGAAUACCGAAGAAUGUUAUCACGGGAGACACACGGCGGGUGCUAACGUCCGUCGUGAAGAGGGAAACAACCCAGACCGCCAGCUAAGGUCCCAAAGUCAUGGUUAAGUGGGAAACGAUGUGGGAAGGCACAGACAGCCAGGAUGUUGGCUUAGAAGCAGCCAUCAUUUAAAGAAAGCGUAAUAGCUCACUGGUCGAGUCGGCCUGCGCGGAAGAUGUAACGGGGCUAAACCAUGCACCGAAGCUGCGGCAGCGACACUUAGGUGUUGUUGGGUAGGGGAGCGUUCUGUAAGCCUGCGAAGGUGGCCUGUGAGGGCUGCUGGAGGUAUCAGAAGUGCGAAUGCUGACAUAAGUAACGAUAAAGCGGGUGAAAAGCCCGCUCGCCGGAAGACCAAGGGUUCCUGUCCAACGUUAAUCGGGGCAGGGUGAGUCGACCCCUAAGGCGAGGCCGAAAGGCGUAGUCGAUGGGAAACAGGUUAAUAUUCCUGUACUUGGUGUUACUGCGAAGGGGGGACGGAGAAGGCUAUGUUAGCCGGGCGACGGUUGUCCCGGUUUAAGCAUGUAGGCGGAGGUUCCAGGUAAAUCCGGUACCUUUUAACGCUGAGGUGUGAUGACGAGGCACUACGGUGCUGAAGUAACAAAUGCCCUGCUUCCAGGAAAAGCCUCUAAGCAUCAGGUAACAUCAAAUCGUACCCCAAACCGACACAGGUGGUCAGGUAGAGAAUACCAAGGCGCUUGAGAGAACUCGGGUGAAGGAACUAGGCAAAAUGGUGCCGUAACUUCGGGAGAAGGCACGCUGGUGUGUAGGUGAAGUCCCUGCGGAUGGAGCUGAGACCAGUCGAAGAUACCAGCUGGCUGCAACUGUUUAUUAAAAACACAGCACUGUGCAAACACGAAAGUGGACGUAUACGGUGUGACGCCUGCCCGGUGCCGGAAGGUUAAUUGAUGGGGUUAUCCGUAAGGAGAAGCUCUUGAUCGAAGCCCCGGUAAACGGCGGCCGUAACUAUAACGGUCCUAAGGUAGCGAAAUUCCUUGUCGGGUAAGUUCCGACCUGCACGAAUGGCGUAAUGAUGGCCAGGCUGUCUCCACCCGAGACUCAGUGAAAUUGAACUCGCUGUGAAGAUGCAGUGUACCCGCGGCAAGACGGAAAGACCCCGUGAACCUUUACUAUAGCUUGACACUGAACAUUGAGCCUUGAUGUGUAGGAUAGGUGGGAGGCUUUGAAGCGUGGACGCCAGUCUGCGUGGAGCCAACCUUGAAAUACCACCCUUUAAUGUUUGAUGUUCUAACGUUGGCCCCUUAUCGGGGUUGCGGACAGUGUCUGGUGGGUAGUUUGACUGGGGCGGUCUCCUCCCAAAGAGUAACGGAGGAGCACGAAGGUUAGCUAAUCCUGGUCGGACAUCAGGAGGUUAGUGCAAUGGCAUAAGCUAGCUUGACUGCGAGCGUGACGGCGCGAGCAGGUGCGAAAGCAGGUCAUAGUGAUCCGGUGGUUCUGAAUGGAAGGGCCAUCGCUCAACGGAUAAAAGGUACUCCGGGGAUAACAGGCUGAUACCGCCCAAGAGUUCAUAUCGACGGCGGUGUUUGGCACCUCGAUGUCGGCUCAUCACAUCCUGGGGCUGAAGUAGGUCCCAAGGGUAUGGCUGUUCGCCAUUUAAAGUGGUACGCGAGCUGGGUUUAGAACGUCGUGAGACAGUUCGGUCCCUAUCUGCCGUGGGCGCUGGAGAAUUGAGGGGGGCUGCUCCUAGUACGAGAGGACCGGAGUGGACGCAUCACUGGUGUUCGGGUUGUCAUGCCAAUGGCACUGCCCGGUAGCUAAAUGCGGAAGAGAUAAGUGCUGAAAGCAUCUAAGCACGAAACUUGCCCCGAGAUGAGUUCUCCCUGAGACUAUAAGUCUCCUGAAGGAACGUUGAAGACGACGACGUUGAUAGGCCGGGUGUGUAAGCGCAGCGAUGCGUUGAGCUAACCGGUACUAAUGAACCGUGAGGCUUAACCUUACAACGCCGAAG
rnacentral:rRNA from 1 species